CCGAAAGGCAGGAGUGCCUGCAAGGGAGCGCGGAGACAGGUGGUGCAUGGCUGUCGUCAGCUCGUGUCGUGAGAUGUUGGGUUAAGUCCCGCAACGAGCGCAACCCUCACCUCUUGUUGCCAUCAGGUCAUGCUGGGCACUCUAGAGGAACUGCCCCGGUCAACGGGGAGGAAGGCGGGGAUGACGUCAAGUCAUCAAGCCCCUUACGUCCUGGGCUACACACGUGCUACAAUGGCCGGUACAAAGGGAUGCCACACCGCGAGGUAGAGCUAAACCCAAAAAGCCGGUCUAAGUUCGGAUUGGAGUCUGCAACUCGACUCCAUGAAGGAGGAAUCGCUAGUAAUCGCGUAUCAGCACGACGCGGUGAAUACGUUCCCGGGCCUUGUACACACCGCCCGUCACACCACGAAAGCCAG
rnacentral:rRNA from 1 species